GGACCUAACUAGGCGAUCACUCGCAUACUUGUUAUGCGAGAGGAAAGUCCGAACACAGCCCGGCAAUUUGCUGGGAGAAUGGUAAUGGGUAAUUCCCAUACGCCGUGAGGCGCGAGGUGCGAACAGAGACGCCCUGAGCGAAAGCAAACGGGCAUCCAAUCGUUGAUUGGAUGAGUCGAAAGGUGACUUUCGGGAUGAAACGGUUAAAUCCUUACUUCUGUGCAAGGCCGUGUCCCGCCAACAUCUUCAAAGUUGUGGCGGGGAGUGCCGCUCGAGGCGUUAUGUAAAUAACGUCCCAGAUAAAUGAUCGUCCACGACAGAAUUCGGCUUAUCGGUCCGGUCCAACC
rnacentral:RNase_P_RNA from 1 species